GGAAAGGGAAAGGAAGAGAAAAGGGAUUUAUAGAAAAAGGGAAUAGGGUGAAGAAGAAGGGAGAUUUACAAGAGAUUUCAACUCUGAUUUAGAGGCUACCCAAAUCAAUACGACAGAUUUAGAUGCUCUGCCUGUGAAAUAUUUAUGCCAGGUACGACAGAUUUAGAUGCUCUGCCUGUGCGAUAUCUAUACAGGACAUCCUACAGAUCGUGCGGGAUAGUGUUUUGUUGGGUUGUGCCACGGUGUAGCAUCUUUCGUGGAUGUUUUCAUUUUGCACGCAUCUAUAUAGACUUUUUGUUGUUUAUUUUAAACUUAUGAAAUGUUGAAAGGCCGAAGGCCUAAUUACCAUAUUCUCAUAAUCUUUUGAAAUGAGUAAAGAUGUAAAUUAUUUUGUUAUGUAUAUGAUAAGGCCGGAGGCCUGAUUUCAGGUUUAUUUUCUGAUUUUCUUGGUUU